rnacentral:rRNA from 1 species
UACGGAGGGUGCAAGCGUUAUCCGGAUUCACUGGGUUUAAAGGGUGCGUAGGUGGGCUGGUAAGUCAGUGGUGAAAUCUCCGGGCUUAACUCGGAAACUGCCAUUGAUACUAUCAGUCUUGAAUACCGUGGAGGUCAGUAGAAUAUGUCAUGCAGCGGUGAAAUGCUUAGAUAUGACAUAGAAUACCAAUUGCGAAGGCAGCUGGCUACACGAAUAUUGACACUCAGGCACGAAAGCGUGGGGAUCAAACAGG